GGGGAAGUCUAUCGAUAAAAUAGUUUGCGACCUCGAUGUUGGAUUAUAAUAAAAUAUAGGAGUAGAAUAUUAUAUUUUAGGUCUGUUCGACCUUUAAAUUUUUACAUGAUCUGAGUUCAGACCGGCGUGAGCCAGGUUGGUUUCUAUCCAUAAUUUUUUUUUAAAUUUUAGUACGAAAGGACCAGAUUUAUGAAACAUUUUUAUGAUUUUGAUUAAAAUU
rnacentral:rRNA from 1 species